UGACACCAAAGUUAUGUUACAAAAGAGAGGCAAAAGAUACCACAAGAAUAUUCAAACUCAUAAGUUGAAAACAAACUGACAAUGCCACGGCAAAACACAAAAAACAUUCAAAAGACAAACAACAUUACACAAAACACAUCGUAGAAAACUAAAGACUGAGCAGCACGAACCCCGCCAAAAACCAGGGUGAUUUCAGGUGCUCCAGAAGGGUAAGCAGAUCCUACUCCACAUGUGGCAUCUGUCAUGCACUGGCAUUGUGAUCUUUCAGUGCACAAAACACAUGAUCAAUUAUAGUACAGAUUUCAUGUACUUAUAGCUUAACAAAAAAAUUGGAUGGCAUGACAAUUGUUAUUAAACCACUGGAAUUUUAUUGAAGAAAUAUACAAAAUACAUGAAAUGUUUUAGUUACAAUAAUUAUAUACAAUAUGUAUUUAUAGACAUCUUAUUUCACUAAAUUGAAUUUUUCAUUGUAGUUGUGACAUUAAGGACGAAAGAAAAUUGUAUGACCUACAUUCUGGUCCACAAUGUCCUACAGAUUGAAUGGUUUGCGGACAUGCUGUUAAACUGUACUGUAGAAGUGGAUACUAUCAAAACAUUAUCAGCAUAUGAAUACUUGUGUAUACAGCCUAAAACUUUGUAUUUUCCAAAAUGUAUUGCUAAGGUUACAGUUUAUGAGAAGUUCACCUCAAAUCCACCAGUCAUGACACGUAAUUGUGUGAACAAUUUGGACCCUACAUUUUGUACCCCAGGAAACAACCCAUUUCUAAUCAAGUUUGAAGCUCAGCAGAAAUCUGGUGCCCAUGUUGUGUUCAGAAUAGAAGGCAAAAAUGGACAAUAUAGUACAGACGAUGAUGAUAACAAUGAUGAUGAACACAGUGCUGAUGCCUUAGUGACACAAAUUGUCUUAGCUGUAGGUUCUAUAACUACAUUCCUGGCCAUCGUCAUUUGUAUAUUUGUCUCCUGCCGACAUUCCAGAUACCGUAAUUGUGAUUCAGUGUCUGAGAGGUCAUCUCCAAGAACUGUACAAACAGAGAUGGCAGAAGGGGAGGUAACUCGUCAAGGUUCUAUGCCAGAACUGGACAGUUUGAUUGGAAAUACAAAUAAACAAAUAGAUUCAUUAAUGAGCCAACCAGAUCAGAGAGAUACACCUCCACCGUCCUAUUGGGAUGUAUUGGUAGAUGAUGCUGUUGUUAAGUGAUGAUGAUUCAAUUAGUCCCUAUUGAAUGAUAAAGUGAUGAUUUAUAUGUGAGAAUCUGUUUGUGUAUGAACUACCUUGUCUAACAAGAGACAUGACAAUAAGUAUAUGUGCUGAACACUGGUUUACAUCGAUCAUAUCAAUGUUUUUUGUGUAGGAUUUCAUUCAUUUUUCAUAAAAUCUUACAAUUCAAAUUAGUCAUAAGUUCAUUCUUAAUAUGGAUAUUAAGUAUAAGCUGUUUACAUUAAUAACUGUUCUAUGAAUGAGCUGUACUAAAAUGACUUCUCUUUAUACUAUUGUCUCAUUUAUUUUGUAAAAUGCAAAGUUGAAUGUGAGUAAAUACCUCAAAUUAUGUUAUUUGUUUUUGUUUAUGUGUAGUUAUGUCAAUCUUCAUCAGAACAAAACGCAUUUCAACCAAUGACUGCAACAUUCUACUAACGUUUACUAGUUGAAACAGCAAAAAGGAGCCUUUAACAAAAGUUAAAAGUUGGUGCGGGUGGCAAAUGUAUCUUUUUUUUUUGCCUCAACUUGUAAAAUCUAUUGAAAGAACAAAAAAUGUGCUUAAAAAAAUCAGGACAGUUCUGAUGAAAUAGUUAAAAUUUCCUUCAGAACCAUUUCAAUAGGAUAGAAAUAAAACAUAUUUGGUAAUGAUGCCAGAGCUUAAAAAGACUUUUUAUAUUUAUGCACUAUUUCAUACUUUGUACAACAAAGUAAAUACUGUGGAUUCAUUUAUUUUCGUGGGUACCACUUUUCGUUGAUUGAGGAAAAGUUGCAUUUUCGUGGAUAUUUAAUUUCGUUGUUUUGGCAAAGUCUGCGUACAUUCCUUUAGAAAAUUUGUAAUUCGUUGAACAUUUAAAUUUGUGGUUCCCCUGUACCCACGAAAUCCACGAAAAUUGGUAUCCAACGAAUAUUAAUGAAUUCACAGUAUUAUAUCUACAGUUGUCUAUUUUUAAAGUCCAUAUAUUGUCUUCUAGAUGUUUUGUCUAGUUUUUAUACGACCGCAAAAAAAUUUUUGUGGUCGUAUAUUGGUAUGACGUUGGCAUCGUCGUCGUCGUCUGGCGUCGUCGUCCGAAGACACAUUAGUUUUCGCACUCUAACUUUAGUUUAAGUGAAUGGAUCUCAAUGAAAUUUUACCAUAAGGUUCAAUACCACAAAAGGAAGGUGGGGAUUGAUUUUGGGGGUUAUGGUACUAACAGUUAAGGAAUUAGGGGCCAAAAGGGGCCAAAAAUAAGCAUUUUUGUAACUUCCAGACAUAACUUGUGUGUAAGUGUAUGGAUCUUUCUGACAUUGUACCACAAGGUUCCAUAUUACAAAGGGAAUGCUGGGAUUGAUUUUGGGGGUAAUUGCCUCCAAAUUUUAGGAAUUAGGGGCCAAAAAGGGGCAAAAAACAAGCAUUUUUCUAGUUUCAUGACAAUAACUUGUUUGUAAGUGUAUGGAUCUUUAUGAAAUUGUACUACAAGGUUCCAUAUCACAAAGGGAAUACUGGGAUUGAUUUUUGGGGUAAUUUCCUCCAAAUUUUAGGAAUUAGGGGCCAAAAAGGGGCAAAAAACAAGCAUUUUUCUAGUUUCAUGACAAUAACUUGUUUGUAAGUGUAUGGAUCUUUAUGAAAUUGUACUACAAGGUUCCAUAUCACAAAGGGAAAGCUGGAAUUGAGUUUGGGGGUAAUUGCCCUAAACGUUUAGGAAUUUGGGGCCAAAAAACAAGCAUUUUUCUAGUUUCCAGACAAUAACUUGUGUUCAAGUGUAUGAAUCUCUCUGAAAUUGUACUGCAAGGUACCAUACCACAAAGGGAAAGCUGGGAUUGAGUUUGGGGGUGAUGAAUCAUAAGGGGGUUCAAAAAAUUGGGGGGGGGGGAUUUUUUUUUUCCUUUUUUUUCUUUAACAUUUUCCAUUUUAAAUUGGUUAUUUCUGAUUUAUAUAUAAAAGCAAAUAAUAAUGAUAUGGUUUGAAUAGGCAUACAUGUGAACCUCCCGACGGGAGUACAAUAAUCCCGUUUUCAGGGGUCUCCUCCCGACCUCCCGUUGAAGAGGAAAAAAUCCCGUGUAUGAAAUUUUUCAUGAAUGAAAAAUUUCUGCCCAACAUAUCAUCUCAGGCAUCAGGUGUAACUGACAUUACCUGAAGUUAUAUUUUACCUGUAAAUCAAUUAACAUGCAUAAUUAUAUGGCUUCACUUGUCAGCUUGGGUGUCAAACAUACUGGUAAUCAACGAUUUUUACCUCAGGCUAACUGCCGUUGUGUAACAAAAACUGUGUAUUUAUUGGGUUACUUCCCUUGAUUUAUCCUGUUUUAAGUUACUUUCCUUUUGAUAAUGAAAAUUUUUAAAAGAAUAUAAAUAAAAUAUAAAUUGAACAAAUAAUCAUAAAAGGAUGGUUAUUACAUGAUUUUAAAUGUCUUAGGACAAAUAAAAAAAUAAUAAUUUGAAAAUUAUUUGAGGAUUCUAUACUUCCUUUCAAGGCUUAAAUUGAAAUUUAUAUAAUAACUAUGACCCUAAUUUUACAGAUAGAAUGAUUUUCUGAGUUUGCAAAUAAAAACUCUUUGCAAGAGAAAAAAAAAAAAAAUAAAAACUAUUUGCAGAUAGCUAAACAAAUGUUCUGGUUGCAAUGAUUGUUUUAUAGAAUAUGAAGUAAAAAAUUUAAAGAACAUACUGGAAAAAAACAAUGUUAGAUUGAACAUGUAGAAUAUAAAGAUGGAGAAACUUUAUAAGUACAAGGGUACUAUAAACAUAAUAAAUUGGAUGGAAAGUUGAAGAAAACACACUUUAAAAGACCAUUUUUACAGCACACAGUUACAUUUACAACAAAAUUAAUGUCGAUUAAAAACCUCCUGAUCUGAGUCCUAAUCUCCUGACCAAAAUUUCCCAAUCUCCUGAUCUGAGUUUCACAGUCCAUCACAUGUAUGAAUAGGUAAAUUGAAAAUUUUUAAGUUCUUAGAUCACUUUCAUUCUGUGUCAGAAACCUAUGCUGUGUCAAAUAUUUAAUUACAAUCCAAAUUCAGUGCUGUAUCAAGCUUGAAUGUUGUGUCCAUACUUGCCCCAACUGUUCAGGGUUCGACCUCUGCGGUCGUAUCAAGCUGCGCCCCAGCGGAGCAUUUUAUUUUAUAUUCUAGUGAUGUUAUACACCUCUGUAUAGUUAUUUGUCUAGUUUUAUGCAUAUUUUUUACAAAUGAGAUUGUUUUUAGAUAUUUGGAUUUCUAAAAUUAAAAAUGUACAAUUUGUAUUUAUCUACUCGUUGGUUCAGUUAAUGAAUGGUGUUUGUUGUUUUAAUUAUAUGCUUGUAUAAUUUGCAAAUUUGUACUUUUAGAUUUUUUUAAAAAUGCUUUAUGAUUUUUUUGCAUGGGAACAGGCAUGCACAGUAUGAAAAACAAAUCUAUCAAAUAUAUAAUUAUAAGUUACCACGGACAGCGCAGGAUGUAAUUUCUAUGAAGACAGAAGCGAUGUUUGCUGCAGUUUAGAAUAGAUAAAUUAAAUAAAUGGUUCUUAAAUUCUAAAAUAUACUACUCAAAAAACGUUUUGCAACACUUCCAUUGAGAUUGAUGGGUGUCAAACAUUGAGGGCCCAUUUUGUUGUUGAAAAUGAUCUGAAAUUAAUAGCAUCCUUGUUUUAAGGAUAUUGAAUAGAUUAAAGAAGAACAGUGAAAAAAAAUAUGAAAAAAAUUUGGGGGGUUAAAAAAGUCCACCCCCUAUUUUUUUUUAAUAUUUUUUUUUGCAAGGGUAUUGUUAGUUUCUUAAAAUUGUGACUUUUAAUUUUGACCCCUCACCUUAAAGUAUGUGAACAGUGUAGCUGUCUAAAAUUUAUACUGCCAUAACUGUAGUACUUAUGAACAGUCAGGGGCAUUACUUAAAUAAGUAACUUUUUUUAGUUACUUGUAUAGGUAAUUUUUGUUUUUAAAAAUAUAAAAUUACUCAAUAGAGUUAUUUUCAAUUUUAAUAGAAGCAUUGACUAGAUGUAGUUUACAUGAAUUUUUACAUCAUUUUAUAUAAAGAAAUUAAGAAUUUUUUAGAUUUGAGAGGAGUAUAGACAUAAAGGGUUACUUUAAAAAUAAUGACAAAAAUGUUACUUGAAUAAGUUAUUGUAUACAUCUUUGAAAGAAUUAGUAAUACCACUUAUUUAAGGAACAUAUGUAAUUGUUUUGGGUUACAAAUUAUAAAUAACUUUAAGUCUUAAUUAAUUCACAAGUUUCUAUCUAUUUAUAUCUGUCUACCUUCAAGAUUUUCAAGGAAAACUAGAUAUCAAAGAUAAGUGCGUCAGAAAGGCAAUUAGUGUUUCAGAAGGAUUAGAUUUUAUAUUUUAUGGAAACAUAACCAGAUGACUGUAAAAAUUUGUUAAAACUAAUAAAAUUAACCUGUAUAAUUGGACACCUAAAAAAUAAUAUUUAGAAAAGUUACUUAUAUAAGUAAUUUUUAAAAUAGCCUCGUUUUCAACAUUACUUGUAUAGGUAAUUUUAAAAGUUAUUUGUUUAAGUAAUCCCCCUGACUGAUGAAUACAUAUAGAUUAAAAGAUUUAUACAGAUUUUAUUUUAUUUUACUUUUAGUUUAAAGUUUUUUGAGGAGUAUAUUCAAUUUGUUGAAAUUUUAAAUUGGUUGAACUUUUUGAAAUUUAUACAUCUCUUUCUUAAUUCAUAACCUACAAUUUGCGAAAAGAUAAGUAUCAUUAUGAUAAAUUUUAAUUGACAACUGUGUAAAAUACAGGAUUCAAGGGGGGUAGUGGGCAUGAGCUCCGUCUUUGAGUGAAAAAUAUUUUUUAGCAUAAAAUCGUUCAAAAACAUUUUGUAAAAAAAAUUAUAUUUAAACCGUUUUCUUGAAUUACACCCCUUCAAAAUGAUCCCCUGGCAAAAUCCCCUGGAUCUGCCACUGAUUUAGCAAGUAUCUCAAAAAGAUAAUAACAGUUAUUAUUGAUUAAGUGCAAUAAAAAAGUGAUAGGUUUAAUGAAUUGUCAAUCACAGUAUAGUAACUGUUAACAGACUAUAUUGUAACAGUAAAGGCCUCUCUGAUAUUACACAUAAGCUCAUUUAUGUUUGUGAAUAAAGAAUAGUUUCAUGCUAUGACUGCUUGGUCCUAAUUAUACUUUCAUGAAAGCAUUAGUGACUAAAAUACUUUGUUAAAAUACUCAAUACAUUUAAAUUUACCAUGAAUCUUAAUUUUGAACUUGUCUUAGAUAAUUGAGAGCUUAUGUUUUUAGUAAAAUUUCUGUUUUUUUAAUAUUCAAUAUCAAAUUUUGUUCUAACUUGUUUUCUUUGUUUGUUUAAUUGAUCUCAUAAGUUGUCGGAAAGUUCCAAUUUAGUAAUAAUUUAUGAGUGUUACUUGUUAUUGAUGUUUAUUUAUUGUACAAUUUUGUUGUUAUUUACACACGUUUUUAAUUUUUUUUUUAUUUUAAUAAUUUAAGACUUAUUUUUUUUCAAAUUACUUUGAGUAUUUGAAUAUUGAUUAAUAUAUUAAUAAUACUUAGAAAUUAAUGUUAUCUCAGUACAUAAAACUUCCUCACACUUAUGUCACCAUAGCAGUGUGUGGAUUUCUUUUAGAAAAAAUACUUCGUCUAAUACCUUUGUUAUAAAAUAUCAUCUGUGAUGAAUAUGAUGUGUGAAGCUUGUCCAGAAGCUAUGCUAAAUAUUUAAUGUCAGCUCAUAUCAGAAAGAGUACUUAUGUUAUAGCAUUGAUAUAUGGUAUCAAUUCAAAGUAAAACUAACCAUAUUAAGAUGACUUUAAACACUUUUUUAUGAGUAUUUGUUUUCAAGUUUUAAUUUGAAUGUAACUCUGAACAAUAUUUGAAUGUCCAUGUGUUUUCUUAAUUUCAAGAAUUUGUAAUGAUUCAUGUCCAAACUGAACAUAGUUUGUAAUAUGUAAUGCUCAAUUAAACACAUUGGAUAUACGCUUGUAAAAUCUGUACUAACUGCAGAAUGUACUAAAGUAACGGAUAAUAUCAUGCUAUGACUUCUUGGUCCUAAUUAUACUUCCAUGAUAUCAAUAAGGACUAAAAUACUCAGUUCAUUUAGAUUUACCAUGCAUCUGAAUUUUGAACUGGUCUUUAAUAGAUAAUUGAGAACCUAAGUUUUUGCUGGUCAUAAACUGUAUUUAUAAAUAUUUUCCCAGUUAAAUUUCUGUAUCUUUAAUGUUCAAUAUCAAAUUUUGUUCUAGCUUGAUUUCUAUGGUGUUUUUUAAUUGAUCUCUUAGUUGUCAGAAAGUUCAAUUGUAGUCAUUAUUUACAAGUGUGUUCAUUGUUAUUGAUGUUUAUUUAUACCACAAUUUUGUUGUUAUUUACAAGUGUUUUUAUUUUUUUAUUUUAUAAUUUAAGACUUACAUUUUACCAAGUAACUUUGAGUAUAUGAAUAUUAAUUAAUGUAUUAAAAAUACAUAGACAUUAA